CCUACGGGUGGCAGCAGUGAGGAAUAUUGGUCAAUGGCCGGAAGGCUGAACCAGCCAAGCCGCGUGAAGGACGAAGGUGCCAAGCAUUUUAAACUUCUUUUGUCAAGGGACAAAAUCAGGCUCGAGAGCCUGACCGAGGGUACUUGAAGAAAAAGCAUCGGCUAACUCCGUUCCAGCAGCCGCGGUAAUACGGAGGAUGCGGGCGUUAUCCGGGUUUAUUGGGUUUAACGGGUGCGUAGGCGGGCUGUUACGUCAGCGGUCAAAGCCCGGGGCUAAACCCCGGCGGGACGUUGAAACUGGCUGUCUUGAGAUGUCGAGAGGUAAGCGGAAUGCGCGGUGUAGCGGUGAAAUGCUUAGAUAUUGCGCAGAACUCCGAUUGCGAAGGCAGCAUACCGGCGGCGAUCUGACGCUGAGGCACGAAAGCGUGGGUAUCGAACAGGAUUAGAUACCCGUGUAGUC
rnacentral:rRNA from 1 species